UACGUAGGGUGCAAGCGUUGUCCGGAAUUAUUGGGCGUAAAGAGCUUGUAGGCGGUUUGUCGCGUCUGCUGUGAAAUUUCGGGGCUCAACCCCGAACUUGCAGUGGGUACGGGCAGACUAGAGUGUGGUAGGGGAGACUGGAAUUCCUGGUGUAGCGGUGAAAUGCGCAGAUAUCAGGAGGAACACCGAUUGCGAAGGCAGCUCGCUGGGACGUCACUGACGCUGGAGACGCGAAAGCGUGGGGAGCAA
rnacentral:rRNA from 1 species